rnacentral:rRNA from 1 species
CGGCGGACGGGUGAGUAACACGUAGGAACGUACCCCAAACUGAGGGAUAAGCACCAGAAAUGGUGUCUAAUACCGCAUGUGCUCUUCGGAGUAAAGCUUCGGCGGUUUGGGAACGGCCUGCGCAUGAUUAGCUUGUUGGUGAGGUAAUAGCUCACCAAGGCGACGAUCAUUAGCUGGUCUGAGAGGAUGACCAGCCACACUGGGACUGAGAUACGGCCCAG